CGCGAAAACACUUCGGUGUGAGUAAAGCGGCGGACGGGUGAGUAACGCGUAGGAAUCUACCUAGUAGUGGGGGACAACUCGGGGAAACUCGAGCUAAUACCGCAUACGCCCUACGGGGGAAAGCGGGGGACCUUCGGGCCUCGUGCUAUUAGGUGAGCCUGCGUCGGAUUAGCUAGUUGGUGGGGUAAAGGCCUACCAAGGCGACGAUCCAUAGCUGGUCUGAGAGGAUGAUCAGCCACACCGGGACUGAGACACGGCCCGGACUCCUACGGGAGGCAGCAGUGGGGAAUAUUGCGCAAUGGGCGAAAGCCUGACGCAGCCAUGCCGCGUGUGUGAAGAUGGCCUUCGGGUUGUAAAGCACUUUCAAUUGGGAGGAAAGGUUCACGGUUAAUAACCGUGAGCUGUGACGUUACCUUUAGAAGAAGCACCGGCUAACUCCGUGCCAGCAGCCGCGGUAAUACGGAGGGUGCGAGCGUUAAUCGGAAUUACUGGGCGUAAAGCGCGCGUAGGUGGUCUGUUAAGUCGGAUGUGAAAGCCCCGGGCUCAACCUGGGAACUGCAUCCGAUACUGGCAAACUAGAGUGCGGGAGAGGGAGGUAGAAUUCCAUGUGUAGCGGUGAAAUGCGUAGAUAUGUGGAGGAAUACCAGUGGCGAAGGCGGCCUCCUGGCUCGACACUGACACUGAGGCGCGAAAGCGUGGGGAGCAAACAGGAUUAGAUACCCUGGUAGUCCACGCCGUAAACGAUGUCUACUAGCUGUAGGGGUACUUGAGACCUUUGUAGCGCAGCUAACGCAAUAAGUAGACCGCCUGGGGAGUACGGCCGCAAGGUUAAAACUCAAAUGAAUUGACGGGGGCCCGCACAAGCAGUGGAGCAUGUGGUUUAAUUCGAUGCAACGCGAAAGAACCUUACCAGGGCCUUGACAUCCUCCGGAACUUUCU
rnacentral:rRNA from 1 species